UUAAAUAUCAUUACAUAUGAUUCAUGUAUGAUGCCAUUCAUCACUGAUAGAUCUUUUCUAUUUCAUCGAUAAACCACAAGGUAACUGUAACAUAUUUAAACAAUAUUAAUAAGAAUAAAUAAAAAUGCAUCUGUGACUUACUGUAAUAUUGCUUCUUAUUUUUCAGUGGGUUGAAAGUUCUUAUUAAACACAUAGCUUUAUUCUCAUCUCUGUGCAUUUUCAGACGUUGUGCAUAUUUCUGAAUCAAAUCUUUUUAACUUUUUAACAUCAUAAUAUUGGUUGUCUUCUCUUUUGUCAGAGUUUAGCUCCAACCCCAGUUAAGCAGAUCGGGGCAGCUGAUCAAGGAUCACCAGAAACUCUGCAGAACAUUGGUCCUCCAGCCCAGGACUGGACACCAGUGUUAGUGUCUGUCUCAGAAGCUGAAGAAAAGAGGCCACACCUCAGAGGAAAUAAGCGCCUCCUAAGUGUACGGAAAUACCUGGCUGAGAAGAUCAGUGACAUAAACCAGAUAAAACUGUCAGUGGUCUAAGACAGCUACAAUGAAGCCACAAAUGCAGUUCAUAGUUCCUGUAUUUCUAUAAUGCAUUAAUGAAUAACAAUAAUUAUGUAAUGUCAAUUAAAUGUAAUGUCAAGGUUUUGUGUUAAUUCCAGCUAUGUUGAGUAUUCUGUGAAUAAUUUUGAUUUUAGGUGCAU
rnacentral:lncRNA from 1 species